rnacentral:rRNA from 1 species
UAGAGGUCCGCCUGCCGGUUACUUUAAGUUUAACGGCCGCGGUAUUUUGACCGUGCAAAGGUAGCGCAAUCACUUGUCUUUUAAAUGGAGACCUGUAUGAAUGGCAUCACGAGGGCUUAACUGUCUCCUUUCUCUGGCCAAUGAAAUUGAUCUCCCCGUGCAGAAGCGGGGAUAAAAACAUAAGACGAGAAGACCCUAUGGAGCUUUAGACACCAAGACAGCUUACGUCAAAGGCCUCAUAUAAAAGAUUGAACUACAUAAAUCUCUGUCCUAAUGUCUUCGGUUGGGGCGACCCUGGGGAGAUAAAGAACCCCCAUGAGGACUGGAGAGAUAUCUCCAAAACUAAGAGCUCCCGCUCUAAGAAGCAGAACUUCUGACUGCAAGAUCCGGCAACGCCGAUCAACGGACCGAGUUACCCUAGGGAUAACAGCGCAAUCCUCUUCUAGAGCCCUUAUCGACAAGGGGGUUUACGACCUCGAUGUUGGAUCAGGACAUCCUAAUGGUGCAGCCGCUAUUAAGGGUUCGUUUGUUCAACGAUUAAAGUCCUACGUGAUCUG